GACGAACCGUGCAAACGUUAUUCGGAAUCACUGGGCUUAAAGGGCGCGUAGGCGGGCUGUCAAGUCAGAGGUGAAAUCCCACAGCUUAACUGUGGAAGUGCCCCUGAUACUGACGGCCUCGAGGGAGGUAGGGGCGUGUGGAACUUCCGGUGGAGCGGUGAAAUGCGUAGAUAUCUGGAGGAACACCGGUGGCGAAGGCGGCAUCCUGGACCAACACUGACGCUGAGGAGCGAAAGCCAGGGGAGCAAACGGG
rnacentral:rRNA from 1 species